AACAGGGGGUCAGACUAGAUGACCAGAGGAGGACCCCUUUCUAACUCACUUUGUUUCUAUGUUUUAUCACUCAACUUGUAAUGAUGUGCAAAUGAUGCUGCACAUCUCCUCUUGAAGGGCUCAGGUGCCCUAUGGAGGGAGAACUAAAAGGAAAAGUUUAUGAGGCUAUGGUGAACAGGAGCAUUUUUUAUUUGCUACUCCAGCUAUGGGCCCCUCGC